GCUAUCUCAGGCUGUGGCCAAGCAGGGGGCCUGUGGGAAGGUUAGAAGCCUCACCAAGGUCAAGAAAGCAGAGGGCAAGACAUGGGCAAUUGUGAACGCAUGAUCAGUUCUGAGAAGUAAGAUGGGAGACAUGAACACAGUCAUGAAAACCAUGGCAGGAAGACCAUUUCAGGAGCAGGUACCUUCCUUCAAGUGCAGUCUGUCCCUACGCUGAUGGUGCUGGAGGCCAGCCUUGGCUUCCCAUCCUGAGGAGUAAGGACAAAGACCUAACUUACCCUGCAGCAGCCACAACACCGGCAGUCUCCACACAGGG